ACAAAGUGUAAAAUGUUUUGACUGGGAGCCAUCAGCACGCCUAAUAGGAGAUGUGAAAAGUGGCGCGUGUCAUCAGCGGUAUGUAGAAAGGUGCAACAAGCGUGAGGUGGCAACAAUCCACCCUGCCUCUGACUCGGACAGCGACGAUCCUCUGCCAGUUCAUCCCCACUAAACACAGCAACAUUAAAGUUUUUCUAUGUUUAGGGAGUGGCAACACUGGUCUGUGUGGCGGGGCCUUGGGGGGGUAAAGUCUUGGCCUGGCCACCCUGCCUGUGACCUGUGGCCUCUUGUUGCUUCACCAUGUUAAGAGGGUGGUGCUGUGAAGCUGGUGGCACAGGAGCUGACCAGUGCUGCAGGAAGACAGCACACAGCUUCAGUAUCUUCCAUGAUAGUGUUUAAAUAUACUGUGUUGGUUUGUUUAUUAGCAGUCAGAUUAAUUUGCUUUGCUUAGUCUUCAUUUAUUCUUUAUUUAGUGUUGGCAUAUAUAUAAUUGUUUAAUCUUU